rnacentral:rRNA from 1 species
CAGUCGCCACGGGAAUACGAAGGGGGCUAGCGUUGUUCGGAAUUACUGGACGUAAAGGGCGCGUAGGCGGCGGCCAAAGUCAGGCGUGAAAUUCCCGGGCUCAACCUGGGGGCUGCGUUUGAUACUUGGUUGCUUGAGUGGGGAAGAGGGUCGUGGAAUUCCCAGUGUAGAGGUGAAAUUCGUAGAUAUUGGGAAGAACACCGGUGGCGAAGGCGGCGACCUGGUCCUUUACUGACGCUGAGGCGCGAAAGCGUGGGGAGCAAACAGGAUUAGAUACCCCCGUAGUCCCUGUCUCUUAUAC